CGGGAGGGCUUCCGGGCCGCGCUGCACUGGCGGCCACUCCCGACGCUCGGUCGCGCCUCCCUGGCAGGUGUGUGCCGGGAGUGAAAAAGGUUACUCUGCAAGAAUUCUGUUACAGAUGAGCGCAGAGUGGGUAAAACCAGAACCGAGCCUCUCUGGCCAGUGCAGGCCUUUGAUGAAGUAACAGCCCAACUCAAGAACAGCUAGGAAACCCUGGGAAGCAGGUGUCUGGCUGGCCCCGACGAAAGGAGGAAGCACCGCGCCAGGAUGCUUUCUUGCCUCAGGAGCACUGUGAUUUCUCCAGGAAGUCUGUAACCUUUUGCAUACUUCUCUAACUGAGAGCCACUAACCACAUGGUGGAGAAAUCAUGUAAUCUUAGAAGCUGAAAGAAAUUCACAGAAGUCUGGAAGAACUUCCUCUCCCUUUACCUCCUGGAACAG
ensembl:lncRNA